AUUGAACGCUGGCGGCAGGCCUAACACAUGCAAGUCGAACGAAUGGCGGACGAGUGAGUAAUGUCUGGGAAACUGCCUGAUGGAGGGGGAUAACUACUGGAAACGGUAGCUACUACCGCAUACCAUCGAAUGUGCCCAGAUGGGAUUAGCUAGUAGGUGGGGUAAAGGCUCACCUAGGCGACGAUCCCUAGCUGGUCUGAGAGGAUGACCAGCCCCACUGGAACUGAGACACGGUCCAGCCUCCUACGGGAGGCAGCAGUGGGGAAGAUUGCACAAUGGGCUCAAGCCUGAUGCAGCCAUGCCGCGUGUAUGAAGAAGGCCUUCGGGUUGUAAAGUACUUUCAGCUGGUAGGCGUUACCCGCAGAAGAAGCACCGGCUAACUCCGUGCCAGCAGCCGCGGUAAUAC
rnacentral:rRNA from 1 species